UUCAACACAUUCAAUAAAAACGUGGAUUAAGGAAUAAAGCAAAUGGUGCUUCUGUUUUCUUUAAAGUAAUAUUGUUGUCCUCAUUUACUUAAAAUGAACCAUAAAAAAUAAAGGUAUACAUAAGAAAAAGGAGAAGAAAUGGUCUGACUUUGCCUCAUGAAAACCUCAGUAGCAAUUUAAGAAGCAAAAUCUAAAACCAAAGGGAAGAAGUUAUACAAUUAAAUAUAAAUUUUUAAUAAGAAUUCAAGGAAAGAAACCAAGUUAUCAUCCGAUCUUCCAAUUGAGAACUUUACUAUCACUACAACAAAAAUUACAUUUAGCGACAAUCUUGUAGUGGCAAAAGCCCUAUUGCAGGCAUUUUAUGUAAAAAAAUACACUUUUUCUACAUAUUAUGAAUUUGCAUUAAUAAGUUACGUAUAGUGGCAAUUGAUGAAAAAAGACAAAAGUUUCACCGGAAAGUCUCUGUUUCCCUCUUCCUCGCCCUUACUUUCUCUUCCCUCCUCUUCAACCUCGCUCUCUUCUUCCCCAUCUGAACCCUAGCUUCAAAUCUCUCCGCUUCUGGCUCUCCGUCGGCGGCAACGUCUGAUUCGGCGGCGGCCACAUAGUCCCCUUGCCCCCACUGCCGACGUGAUCUGAAGCCUCCCUCUUAGCGGUGUUCCAAUCCUCGCAUAUCGGAGGAACUCACCGUUGCCCUGUCAUCGUCGCCGAUGUUUGCGAAAUCCGAGCACCGCAAAACCGAGGGGACGAUGUUGCAGCCGUGGCGGAUGAGGAGCCCGAAGGAGUGGAGCGAAGAGGAUGUUGAGGUUCAGGAGAAGCAGAUGGCGAAGCCAAUUGGAACAGAGCCAAUUCGCAUACUUAGCUCUCCAUUCUCGUUCAGUCGCUUGAUUCGCGUUCUAGGUUCUCGUUCACUCGUGCUCACGCUCUUGCUCUGGAUCUCUGUUUGCUCCAGAUCUUUCAAGAUCUCCAAUGGAACAUGAUGCUUAUGAGAGGAUGCAGCAAGUGAUGGACUAUAUGAAGAUGAGAAUCUAAACCACAUGAAGUGAAGCUUAUGGAGCAAGUCUUUUCAAUUUUCAAUGAUGAUUAUUCCUAUUCUUUAAUUCCCUACCUUCAACUUCUCUCUCAGAUGGAACCUUCUUUCUGUGGAUUUCUUGCAAUUGGGGGGGGGGGGGGGGUGCUUUCUAUGCUAGUAUAUUUACCAUUUCGGUUAAAAUUUCUCCUGUAUAUUUAUAGUUGUUUCAUAGUUUCAGUUUCUUGAAUUUUUGUCUCCUGCCAUGAUUAUGUUCUUUUGUAUGUUAUACUUAGACAGUUGGGCCAACUUAGCAAUGAACAGUUCUUGGUUGAUGAUUGAUGAAUUUGAAUGUCCCCAGCAACUACAAAAGUUAUACACUUCUACAAAGACGACUAAGCAUUUUCAGCGGCAUAUUGUUCACGGUAUUGAAGUAUCGUUGCUGUUAGUUCUUAGCAGAUGAAUAUAGUAAGAAAGUUGGCUAAAGACUUAUGUAAAUAUGCAACUGAGCAUCAAGACAGUACAUACCCCCUUGCAAAGGUUGUAUGUGCUGGAUUUAAGUAAAGUGUUGAACCUCCAGUUUAUUUAAGUGGAGGUCCUUAAUGAGGCCACUGCAUACUUGUGGUAUUGUAGGGUGAUUCUCUUUGUAUUGGUUGCAGGGAAGUGGAGUAAUUUGCAGUAGAAUUUUAAUGCAGUUUCGUUGGUUAAAGCAUUGCAGCUCAUGCUAUCCUUUCUCUUUUGGUUAUUGCAAAUUUGCAAUGAAGGUAUGUGGUCCCACCUAUGCUGCUCCAAGAGAUGCGGUUACGUGUCAGAUUGAGAAGGAAAUUGAGUUUGAAGCAGGGCAUGUUGACCUCUCCAAAAGGGAGCAUAAGGGACCUGAGUUCUUCAAGAUUUCAGGAGAAAGAUCAUCAACAACAACAAGAAACACACAUUACUUAGUGAUAUAUCCCCGUUGCAGAUGAUUGGAAAAUAAAACUGUGAGUUUCACAUAUAUGAAAAGAAGCCGAGCAGCAAGAGAUGAAGAUUCACAGCUAGCAAAGAAGUGGUUACAAGAGAAGCAGUUAUUGGAAGGUGGUGCAAGUUACUACAACAGUAGAUAUGCCAAGUGUAUGGCUUUAAUAUAGGAAGUUCUUUUCUGUUUUAGUAUUAUCCGUAGGAUUAAAAUAGUAGUUUUAUUCCAAGUUCUAUAAAUAGAACUUCUAUUUGUAAAAUAAUCAGAUUUCACACAUUUAGGCUCCUAGACUCUGAAAGCCAACAAGUCAAUCACAAAGACAAAUGGCAAUUAGGAGAUCAUGAGCAUGAUUGUGGUGUAAUCUCAUUUACUUUGCAUUUCAAUUCAUACUAUUUCAUCUUUUCUUC